CAAACUUGGNCAUUUAGAGGAAGUAAAAGUCGUAACARGG
rnacentral:rRNA from 1 species